GAUGAACGCUGGCGGCGUGCCUAAUACAUGCAAGUCGAGCGAACGGACGAGAAGCUUGCUUCUCUGAUGUUAGCGGCGGACGGGUGAGUAACACGUGGAUAACCUACCUAUAAGACUGGGAUAACUUCGGAAAACCGGAGCUAAUACCGGAUAAUAUUUUGAACCGCAUGGUUCAAAAGUGAAAGACGGUCUUGCUGUCACUUAUAGAUGGAUCCGCGCUGCAUUAGCUAGUUGGUAAGGUAACGGCUUACCAAGGCAACGAUGCAUAGCCGACCUGAGAGGGGGAUCGGCCACACGGGAACUGAGACACGGUCCAGACUCCGACGGGAGGCAGCAGUAGGGAAUCUUCCGCAAUGGGCGAAAGCCUGACGAAGCAACGCCGCGUGAGUGAUGAAGGUCUUCGGAUCGUAAGACUCUGUUAUUAGGGAAGAACAUAUGUGUAAGUAACUGUGCACAUCGUGACGGUACCUAAUCAGAAAGCCACGGCUAACUACGUG
rnacentral:rRNA from 1 species